GGGAGGCUCCGCUGGGCAAGUUGCGGUGGACGCUGCCUGGCUGGGCGCACGGGCAGGCCCUCUAGCUCUGCUCGCCCCCUGCCGGCUGCUCGCCUCCUCGCGAGGUGGAGGGACCGCGGCCAUGACUCCCUGGCCCCCUACGCCCCUGCUGUGGCGCCUUCAUGCCGGUCGACUACCGAGAAAAGGGGCUUCAGUUGUAGGAACGCACCUGCUGCCACCCUGGGGCCUAUAGGGGACUGUAGAGAAAAACCUGCCAUCCCAACCCUUUCAUGACCCCUCUUCCACGCCUUCGGGGCGGGAGGUGGGGCCAGGGGCGAUGGUGAAGUUCAGGGUCAGCCGAUGCGGCUGGUGGAGUCCCCAGGCUCGCGCGCUGGUGGUAGUUGAGCAAUCUGCGCAGCGCCUGCCAAACCCUGUCUUGGCUCCCAGCCUCGCGCGGCCCUGCAAAUACCUGCUCCCGCGGCGCCGGGAGUCUGUAACCCUCGGCCCUUUUCUGACCGCCCCCAGCUUCAGCUGAACGCACUCUUGUUUUCCAACGCUCGGCUGCGCAGUGGCAUCACCCGGAAGCUGUUAAAAAAUAACUACUGCUGAUCGUGAUUCCAGUGUGCAGCCAAAAUAGAGGAACACUGCGCCAAAUCUGCCAGUGGAAGGAGCCUGUGAGGGAGUAGGGAGCAGACAAGAGGGAGGCCCCGAGAGACAGCGCACUAGGCAUUUGUCAAGAUCCUGGGGACGUGUCACAGUGCUAAGAUGCUGGGAGAGAGACCCACCUGGUCUUCAGUCGUCCAUCCACACUUGUGGCUGCUGACAAACUGCCGUUUCUAUUUGUGUUUCCCCUUCAGCCGCAUGGAUUCCUCUCUCGCCUUAGAGCACAGAAUCUGGAAGAAUCUAUACAGAUAGCUACUCUUCUACUUCCAGAGGCAGCUACAUAAUUUGCAGGAAAAAAAUGUCCAUUAAAGGUCCUAAAUAUAAAGCUUUUUCCUUUUUUUCUGCUCUCUCAACUUGCCAUAGUGUAUUUUAUUUGCCACUUAAUACUAAUCUAAAUAAAGAAAAAUUAAAAUAUUAAAUAAUUA
rnacentral:lncRNA from 1 species